UAGGGGUACUUCUUGGAUUUAAAUUCAACCUUGGUGUACAGGGAAUAUGGUCAGGGAUGAUAGGUGGUACAUUUUUACAGACUAUUAUUUUAUUGUGGGUCACUUAUCGAACAGACUGGAAUAAAGAGGUGGAGAAUGCACAGGAUCGGUUGAACAUAUGGGAAGACAAAAAAGAGCCAUUCUUGGAGGACAAAAGAGAGCCUCUCUUGGAGGAUAAAAGAGAUGAAUCGGAGAAUUAAGUGGAUUUAUAAAUUUGAUUUCAUCUCAAUGGGUCAUCCUUGUAGUAAACAUUUUGGUUUUAUUUCAUAGGGUGAGAUGUUGUAUUUACCAGAAGGGGCAAGAGAGUCGCUUUGUUAUAUAUUAUACAUAUAAGCUUAUCCAAUGAAAAAACCAAAAAUA
rnacentral:misc_RNA from 1 species